CUUAUUUUCUUUGAACUGAUUACUAGUGCCUGAACCCUGUAAUUGAGUGCUUAUGCUGCAAAACACACAGAAACAUCAUGCUCAAAUUUCAAGGACCACUAGCUUUGGCAUCAGGAUAGUCCUGUAGAAAAUACAAAGGGCGUUUUGCUAGAAGAACAUUCCCAUCCACCACAUCACUCUAAAGCACAAUGCAGGCAAAGGAUACUCAGAAGAAAUCUGUACAAUGUGCUAUAUGUAAAUCUCCACAGGUAUUCAGCGAACUACACUCUGCAAAUUUAUGUGACCUACUUUUUCAGAUUGUUUAGUACCUAAUCGUGUCCUUGCUGCCAAUCAAAUGGCAACUGCAAAUAUAAUAUAUGUUCUUGAUCUGGGAAGAAUAGAAUGAUCUAUGGAUAACUUGAAUAAAACUUGGGCAAGGUGCAGGAGAAAAUGACAUGGGUAUGAGUUAGAAAAUAUACAACACAGCUGUAUGAAUGCUUGGCUGGGGAAAAAGUACCGGUCACUCACUUGGUAAGUGGCCAGAAUGAAAUAUGUGGGGUAGAAUGGUGACAUUAAGCAUAACUGUCAUAUACAGAGAUAAAAUUUGGAUCACUUACGUAUGCAUAUGACAAGCAUCUGAAAGUCCAACACCCUUCCUGAUUACCAAGAAGCUCUAAUACAAAACUUCAUACAAACAGUGAUACAGUGAUAUGCUUAAAAAUACCUGUCAGCAAUCAUAAUGGAGGUAUUAAAAGACAUGUAGAUGAGAUGCUUAGGGGCAUGGUUUAGUGGUAGACUUGGCAGUGUUGCAUUAGUGGUUGGACUUGAUGAUCUUAAGGGUCUUUUCCAACCUAAAUGAUUCUAUGAUUCUAUGUAUGACGCACUAACUUUUCUGAGGUAGGUAUGAAAAAGAGGCAAGCAAAGUAUAUUGGAGUUACUUGGUGCAGCUCAGUUUAAGGAGGAAUGCACUCACUUCAGGACCAUUUUUUUUUUUAAACAUUUUUAAUAGUUUAGUACUGAGGAAAAAGGACAUUCUCAUCUAGCACAGAAAAGCCGUAGUGGAUUUUAAACAUGACAAACACGACAAACACAGCAAAGUUACAAACAUUACUAGAAUGAAACAUUUUACCUUCAGUAAGAUCCAAUUUACAGGUACUAAGAAAAAGAGACUGUGAAAUAUUUUUGUGUUCCAAUUGCUAAAUAGCUUGCAGGAGUCAGAAAGCUUGGUUUUGUGGUUGAGGCAGUGGAUACAGUCUGAGAAGAACUGGUUUCAAUUUAUGGUUCCAUGUUGCUCUUGGAGCAAAUCACUCUUAAUACAAAAUGUGGAUAGUAUGUCAUGCCUAUUGGACUAUAAAAGUUUUAAGGCAGGGAAAAUCUCUCACUAGGUGAAGAGUCGGCAUCUACCUCAAAGAAAUAUCUAUCUUGACUGAGAGGCCGAGGUAUCCUUAUAUUAGAAAUACUGAUCAAUAACAAAAACAGAUAUUGCUGUCUCUUCCCAGCCUCCCCUGGUUGCUGGAGCUUAUCUCAGAUGUGAGACUGGGUACACAGAUUUUCUUCUGCACUUAGCUUUGUUGUGGUGCUGGGGGCAGUCAGCUCUUUCUUGUUGAGGGUCAGGAAGGCUGGCAAAGAAGAAAAUGAAUGAAAUGAAAGAGGUGAGGGAAAACAGAAAGGAGGAACUGAUGGAAGAAAAUGAGCUGCCAAAGAUAUUCUGGUGGGCAGAUGGUGAAAAGCAGUUGCUUCAGAAGACCACUGUUGAGACCAGGUAGUGAUGGCUGAACUAAUGCUAUUGAAACAGAAGACAGGCUGCUGGCAAAACAGAGGCAAAGGCACAUGUGAAUUACACGUGCUGUAUGAAAAGCAUUUCCUUGUCCACAUGUUUAUAAGACAGAAACAUGGGCUUUCCAGGUCUUUUUUGCUUAGUGUCAGUAAGGAUCGGUGCUUAUCCCAAGAGAUUUCCACUUUGUAGUCUGGCACUAGCUAGAAUAGAAAGUUCUCAGGGAAUUAGAGAUUGAUGUUUUCACCUCAAAAAUAAACCAAGCAUAGGGGUAAUGAUUAAGGGGAAAAAAACCCCUGAUUAUAUAGUCAAGUAUCCACAGUUCAGAAACAGGGUACAAAGAAUAAGAAACAGCAAGGACGAGAGCGCCAAGUCUUUUUUUCUAGCCAGCACUCAGUGUAAAAACUAACCCUUGCUCUGAAUUAUCUUCUCCUUGUUCCUGUGUUUGAUACUUCAUGCAGUCCCCACCAUCCUACUUUUCUUAUCCUUUCUUUUCAAAAGCCCCUGCGUCCACAACACCGCUGCGCCUUGCUUUAGGACAUAACCUAGCACUUCGGAUGAAGGCUAAUGGUUUCAAUAGACAUAUAUGCUUUUUCUUCAGAAUGGAGAGGGCAUAGGUUAGAGAAUGAGCUGCCCCCUCUUUAUCAGCCUUAUUCUCUUCCUUCUCUAAGGGAUAGUUGGGGUAUAAUGUGGUGGGAAGACAUGUUACAGAUGGAUAAAACAUGGUGAGAAGUUGGUUUUAUCUGCCUCAAAUUAGACAUGGAGAUAGAAAGGACAGCAGUUUCUGGAUAUUAGAAGGAAGGGUUGUUUGGCAAGGGUUUUGAAACUCAGUCAUAUUUUUUUGUUUAACAGCUUACAAGAUCGUGUAUUAUAAGACUGAGUGAGUGUUUAUGAUCUGUGCUGGAAAAGGACUAUGGGAUGAAGGUUGAUGGUGAAAGUGGUUUCAGUUUAUGUCUGAAAAGGCUGGCAGGGAUGAAGAAGGCACUGUUUGGCUUGGCCCUUAAUCCUGGAGAACUGGACACCGACCACCCUACUUCUGCUCCGUGGCUCCUCCUGGGGCAGAACAAUAGUCGCUACCAUUUCACCGUGAGAGUUCAGCACAGAGUAAUUACUGCACUCCCAUGUUUUUGGAGGAACAGAGCAACUUCCUUCAGUUUAUACAAGCGUAUGCAUUUAUUGCUAAGGGAAUCUAGCUUCCCAUUAAGUGACUCUCAACUCAGAUGGCUCCGAUUGUUCUGUCUUAAAGAUGUGAGACGUGCUUUUUUUGUGAAAGCAUGUAGAAAAAGACCUAUACUACCAAAGACAACUUUUCUUGCUUCUUACCCUUUAAAGGCUUUGCAAAAUGUUCCUAUUUAAUAACAGUUAUCUUUAUGUAGUAGUUGAAUCUUUUCAUAAGCUAAUAGUUGUAAAGCACUGUCUACUUUGCUUAAUGAUACUAUUUUCCUAAUAUAAAACAGGGCUAAUGGGUGUCAAAUGUGAAAGCAAUAUUCCUGCAAUUUAUCACUUAAGCCUUCUUUCACUCUUUUGGGGUGAAUUGUUGUAUUUUUAAAGGGAAAUUGAUUGCCUUGAGUGAAUUCUUUUAUUCUUCUACAUUAACAAUUCAUGAAUGAAGCCAAUAGCUGCAACACAAUCUUCAGUUCCUUGUCCCACCAAUAACCUCAGCUGUGUCCUGGAGGGUAAACUCACACUGCAUCAAUCAACAGUCUUCGUGGUCUGCAGCAUAGCCAUGUGAACUGUGGCUUAAACUAUGUUCUCGUUUGCUCCCUUGACUUCUGGCAGUUGGGAACUGCACAAAAAAAAUGAAUUAACUGUUACAAAGUUUCCUGGCAUGCUGUACUUUACAUGAUUGGAAAGUUACUUUACUAGAAAGAACAAAGAAUAUAGACAUUUACUCUGAGGUUUAGAACCAAAUGCCAACAGUCAAAUGAUCCUUGUGCACCUUUCUUCUCUGCUCUGCCCCUCUCCCUGCCAUUGUUAAACGUUGGGCUAGCCCAGUUAAAAAGGUUCUGGGAGACCAAAGAGAUGCCAGUUAAGGGACAUUUAGAACUACUUAUUUAAAAAAACAAAGAGCGCAGAAAACCCAACCCCCAAACAGCACUAUAAAACUGAACGGGGAAAGGCAAGGAGGCCAGCAAUUUAAGCGUCCAUUAAGAUUGCACCUGCAAAUGAGUUCAUUCAUUUCUUUCCAUGAGCAAACCCAGUGUUUCUAUUCCCAAAUGAGAAAUAAACAUACAACGUUGGGCAGGCAGACAUCCAAAUGCCCAGACUUAGUGUAACUCUGUGCCUACAAAACUCAUAUGUAGAAAAUGGAAGCUGUUAAUGUGUACUUCAGCUUAACUUGUAAAGCCAGAGCUGUUGUGGAGGUAAAAUGAUCAAAGUGUGGUGUAAUGGCUGACUUUGAGUCACUGGUAAAACUUAUCUCUGGCAUGUCCCUCUCCUUGCCGCUGCUGGCUCCUCUCUUGAAAGCCACCUGUCUUUAAGCACAUUCUCCUUCUUUACCAGCUUUUUUUUUGGCUCAGUCUCCACAUAAGCAUGUGUAUGCAUGUGCCUUUUGCUGUUGUGGCUCCUCUCCAGCCAAAUUUGUUGUCUCUGUAUGCUGCAACCCAUACCCACACGCCCACAUACAGCUCCUGCACUGGGGAGCUGCUGGUCUGCACACCCAGGCUGUGCUGGAGCAGGCUUCUCCCAGCAGUAACACCUUUGACUUUAUGGACACCUGAGCGCAUUUACAUGUUCGGCAAAGCAUCACAAGCGUCACCUCGUAAGAGGUCACUUCUAAAAUGUGGGGCUGAUUUUCAGCUCAUUUCUACUAGAUCUGUACUAAUUUAAACCUGCCAUUUAGCAUGUGUCUUAAAAAAGAGACACACAUAUGUACAUCCACAAGCUAUUUAUGAUUUUUUCAUAAUAAUUUUCAUUAUUUUUCUGUAUUCCCUUAUAUAUGCUGCUAACUCUUUUCAUCACACCCAUUUCUAGCUCAGUUUCAUCAUGGCACUUGGCAUGGCUGGUUAUACCCUUCUGUACAGCAAAAAAACCCCCAAACUUCUGGUUUACAAAAAAAUAAAGAUAAAAAUCCGAAUGUCUUUAAUUAGGGAAAACAUUGUUUUGGUGACCAAACCCCAGUGAAACUUGGCAAACUGUUACUUUAUUUUCUCAGGAAAACAACAAAUGAAGACGCAUAUAAAUAGUCCACCCUUGUCAUUGAAACUAUAUUUAAGAGGCGCUGCUGUGGCUUCAGUUCUGAAGCGUUUGACCUCCUUAGGAUAGAGCAGAUACAAAAGAUUUUUAUUUGUUUGCAGAUUGUAAGAUAACAAGCAAUGCAUCUGAAAAUACACACCCAAGAUGACUCUUCUUACAAAUGAUCUUGGGAAAUAGGAACGGGUACAAGAAAAGAAAAAAAAAAGAGGCAGAGAAAAGAAUGACAGAGGUGCAGGUUCUACGAAUAAAGAGCUAAGAAAAGACCUGUGGAAAUAAUUGAUUUUUCUGUUCACCACUGACAUUUCUUAAAAAUCCCCGAGUAAUCUGAUGUCUACCUGAACCUAGUAUUAUUUUUUUUUUUUCCAGAAGUAUCCACAAUUGAAACAAAAAUUGCUUGGGGUUAAAUAAAAAUUUUUAAU